rnacentral:rRNA from 1 species
GGGGAAUAUUGGACAAUGGGCGCAAGCCUGAUCCAGCCAUGCCGCGUGAGUGAUGACGGCCUUAGGGUUGUAAAGCUCUUUUACCUGGGAAGAUAAUGACGGUACCAGGAGAAUAAGCCCCGGCUAACUUCGUGCCAGCAGCCGCGGUAAUACGAAGGGGGCUAGCGUUGUUCGGAUUUACUGGGCGUAAAGGGCGCGUAGGCGGGCUGAUCAGUCAGGGGUGAAAUCCCAAGGCUCAACCUUGGAACUGCCUUUGAUACUGUCGGUCUUGAGUCCGGGAGAGGUGAGUGGAACUGCGAGUGUAGAGGUGAAAUUCGUAGAUAUUCGCAAGAACACCAGUGGCGAAGGCGGCUCACUGGCCCGGAACUGACGCUGAGGCGCGAAAGCGUGGGGAGCAAACA